UACGUAGGGUGCUAGCGUUGUUCGGAAUUAUUGGGCGUAAAGGGUGCGUAGGCGGCCCUGUAAGUAUGGUGUGAAAUCUCCCGGCUUAACUGGGAGGGUGCGCUAUAGACUGCGGGGCUCGAGUGUGGGAGAGGAAAGUGGAAUUCCUGGUGUAGCGGUGAAAUGCGUAGAUAUCAGGAGGAACACCGGUGGUGUAAACGGCUUUCUGGACCAUAACUGACGCUGAGGCACGAAAGCGUGGGUAGCAAACAGG
rnacentral:rRNA from 1 species